GUGGCGGCUCGUCAAUAGGGACUGCGAGACUGCAGCCCCCCCAGUGGAUUUCUAGGAUUCAAGAAAAUAGUUAAAUGUUUGACUAUCAUUCACAUGAAAACACCAAUUCUCAUGUUUAUAUGAAAAAAAAAAUACUGCAAAACAAUGAGGAAGUACGGAAAUUAUUUACUAUUUAAUGAUACAAAAGCGGGGAGAAAUGGGGGGAGGCUUCCCGGGGGGAAUGGCGAGUGUGGACUGCGUCCAGUGCAGUCUGGUCUCGGCUAUUGUUGUGCCUAGGUGAGUGUUCUUGCGUCGGUCUUAUUUUCGAUCGUGUUUUUCAAUUUGUCAGGGAUGAUUUUAAAAUAUUAUUGAUCAGUGAUGGCUUGUGCUCAAUCUUGAUUAUCAUGGUGUAAAAUCACAGAAACAUCGUAUAAAAUAGUUUUUUUUUUUCCCAGGUAGGCCUAGCAGCAUUUUGCAAAAUGGCACAAGAAGCAAAAGACGGUUUCUGCAUUGAAAGAACUCAAUUUUUCACAGUUAACACUUCAAGAGAAGGUAGCAAUUAAACAAGCAGGUCGCCCAUUACCAGACAUUAAAAUUGUGCAAGGAGUAAGCCACAACAAGAAGUACAUUCACAGUUUCAAUUGUGAUUGGUACCAAAGGCAAACAUGGCUCUGUGGAUGUGAAGUUAAGAAUGCACUAUUUUGCUUUCCAUGUCUGUUGUUUGGAGUACAGUCCCCUCCAUCAGUAACAGUCACGAGCCACCACUGCUUACCUGUUAGUAGUCAGUCUUCAGCACCUCGUAUAUGGCCCUACAUGUUUCUGGUAUUAUGCGGGACAAGCUUUGCUUUGAUAUGCGUGUACUGUACUUCAACUCCGAAUAGUACACCCACUUGCUAAAAAUCGCUGUGUCUUUCUUCACUAUGUAUGGCUCCACCUUUGAUAACAAAAUGUAAAAAGUGCUUACACAUCCUCAGGUAAUUUCUGAAGUCAUGUUCCUCACUACUUUGUAGUUCCUGAAGUAUUGUUGCAGUGCUUCCAAACAUACUUCUUUUCUUUAACCAAUCUUUACACUAUAUCCUUUUCUUCUUUUUCUUCUUGAGACACAAAGCUAUUAUCAUAGAGCACAAAAUCUCUUUCUUGACAAUGCUAGGCACCAUGAUUCUCGUACCACACUCCACCCGCUACUGGCAACAUCGUCGGGCAGGCCCGGCUGUUCAUCACUUCGGUCGUGUGGACAACAUUCACGGGCAGGCCCGCCAGAAUUUGCCCAUUAACGGGCAAACCCGCCGAUCAGGCCCGCUCGUGUAGACAGGCCUUUAGCUUGCUUACACUACAGGAAUACUGUGGUGACGGGCAUAGUUCUGACGAACACCAGUCAAGAAAGUGUGAGGAAAGAAGAGCCCAGAAAACCAGAACACAUCUGGUAACUCUUCAUCUAACCAUCGUUGGAAGAACUUCAGCCUAAAUGAAAAGUGUUAUUUUGUCUAAGCUUAGAUCAAACUGUGGUGGUAGACGAGCCAGGACCUCACAGGCCAGGUCUUUUAUCACUUGCAUGGCUGCAUCUUCUCUGUCCUUGCUGCUCAACUGUGGUUCCAGAUGCAGAAUACCACAAAACAGCUGAAAUGUAUUGAAGAAUUGUUUUACAUAUAAAAGUACAUUUCCUGAUCCAAAA